CUAAUUUCUAUUUGAAUAGGUUUAAGGAUGAUGAAGAUGGCAGUUGGAAUUGUGAUAUCAAAUUUCUGUCACCCUUUUCUUAACUCUCAAUGCGGAACUGUUAAUACUGAGAACAUUGUAAUUUCGCAAAAUUAAGAUGAGAGACUAUUGUGGUUAUUAGUUAAUAUCAAUUUUAAAAUAUAGCAUAUAUAUAUAUAUAUUUUUAUAAUAUCAAAUUUUCAUGUAUUUUUUCCCCUACAGUUUAAAGCUUCAAGUCAUCUUUGGAAAAUUAUUAGAUAGUUCCAGAGGACCAUCUGCAGCUUACAUUUACUUGGUACAAUGGUCCUUCAAUAAAAUGUAGAAGUUUUGACGCUUCUUUGGAUUUUGGAGUGGAAGGGAAAA